UAAUUGGAAUGAGUACAAUUUAAAUCUCUUAACGAGGAACAAUUGGAGGGCAAGUCUGGUGGACAAAUCCAGUCCCGUGCUGGCGCCAGCAAGAGCGGGGGGCCCCUGCGGGCCUUCUUUCCCGCUAGUCGAGCACCCGUUCCAUGACGGGAGGGUGCCGGCGAGACAACCUGGAUCGGGGGAGGCUAAGAGGCGCCGCCAGGCGUCUUACGUUGAUCCCGAGCAGAGCACCCGAGGAGCGAUCUUCGGGCUGCCUGUGUAGAGCGCGCAAAGGUGUCGGUCGCUCUCCCCCUCGGGGGAGGCGGCUUAAGGGACGUGCCAUCCGCCUCGAAAGAGGAUUUCCUAUCUCCAGCGCCCGUCACGCUAAGGAUAGGAAGCUGCCGGCUUGCACCGGCAGUGGGAGAUCAAUACGGCCAGCAGCCGCGGUAAUUCCAGCUCCAAUAGCGUAUAUUAAAGUUGUUGUGGUUAAAAAGCUCGUAGUUGAACCUGGGCCUCGCGCAGACCGGUCCGCCUCACCGCGUGCACUGGUCCUGCCGGGGCUUUCACUAGGGGAUUCGCAUGUCCUUCACUGGGCGUGUGCGGAACCUGGACUUUUACUGUGAAAAAAUUAGAGUGUUCAAAGCAGGCCUAUGCUCGAAUACAUUAGCAUGGAAUAAUAGAAUAGGACGUGUGGUUCUAUUUUGUUGGUUAUGGGACCGCCGUAAUGAUUAAUAGGGACAGUCGGGGGCAUCAGUAUUCAAUAGUCAGAGGUGAAAUUCUUGGAUUUAUUGAAGACUAACUACUGCGAAAGCAUUUGCCAAGGAUGUUUUCAUUAAUCAGGAACGAAAGUUAGGGGAUCGAAGACGAUCAGAUACCGUCGUAGUCUUAACCAUAAACUAUGCCGACUAGGGAUCGGGCGAUGUUACUUUUUGACUCGCUCGGCACCUUACGAGAAAUCAAAGUCUGUGGGUUCCUGGGGGAGUAUGGUGGCAACGCUG
rnacentral:rRNA from 1 species